UACACCUGAACCUACCAAAUUGCUGUUCACUUCUCGGUGCAAAAAAAAAGCUGUUUACGGUUAAAAAGUUUUUCUUUAUUUGUACAGUGAGUGAGUGAGUGAGUACAUGACAUAAGUUUGACUCUGAACCAGCUACCUGGUUCUGAAACAAACGCAGUUUUCUGUGUUGGAAAUGGAGGAAGGCAUUUUGUGAAUAGGCAGCCAUCUUUUUUUAAUUUGUAAUAAGAAACCUGUCAGAAAGGACUGUUGUGAACUUUUCUCCGCCAUAUGAAUUCAGGAUGAUGGGGAACUUUUGGACUCUGAAGUCAUUGUUAAAACAAACAAACAAACAAACAAAAGAAAACCUGCUCUAGCCAAGGGGAGGACUUCUACAAGAGAGGAGCACAUCGACUUCACUUCAAGUUGAACUACAGAAAGUGGCUGUCUCUGCCCAACCGUGCACACAGCACAUCGGGGUCAGCUGUAAAACGGACGACAUCAGCAGUGGAAUGUGCACUUGCACAUGGGUGCGAGCACAUCCAUUCCCCCGUGCACGCGUUCCCUCACUGACACAAGAGCUGCCAAUCAUGAUGGCCUAGGAUAUAUCAGUGCUGAAGAGCUGGCCCCAUGCCUCAGAACGCUUCAAAGACAGCCUAUCAAGGCCUCGUAUCACCAUCUGACGACAGCGAUCUGCACUCUAAUCCACAGCCCGAGCCAGCAGCCAGGAAAUGAGCCUGUUUUGUAUUGUUGGG